AUUGAACGCUGGCGGCGUGCCUAACACAUGCAAGUCGAGCGGUAACAGGUGUAGCAAUACAUGCUGACGAGCGGCGAACGGGUGAGUAAUGCUUCGGAAUCUACCCAAUGGUGGGGAAUAACCAGCCGAAAGGUUGGCUAAUACCGCAUACGUCCUACGGGAGAAAGCAGGGGAUCGUAAGACCUUGCGCCAAUGGAUGAGCCGAAGUCGGAUUAGCUAGNGGUAGGGUAACGGCCUACCAAGGCGACGAUCCGUAGCUGGUCUGAGAGGACGACCAGCCACACUGGGACUGAGACACGGCCCAGACUCCUACGGGAGGCAGCAGUGGGGAAUAUUGGACAAUGGGGGAAACCCUGAUCCAGCGACGCCGCGUGUGUGAAGAAGGCCUGG
rnacentral:rRNA from 1 species